GGGAAUAAUCACUGGAAACGGUGACUAAUACCGCAUAAUAUUCUUGGAAGGCAUCUUCCGAGAAGGAAAGGAAAUAUUCGGUAAAAGAUGGGCCCGCAUCUGAUUAGCUAGUUGGUGAGAUAACAGCCCACCAAGGCGACGAUCAGUAGCCGACCUGAGAGGGUGACCGGCCACAUUGGGACUGAGACACGGCCCAAACUCCUACGGGAGGCAGCAGUGGGGAAUAUUGCACAAUGGGGGGAACCCUGAUGCAGCAACGCCGCGUGAAGGAAGACGGUUUUCGGAUUGUAAACUUCUAUCAAUAGGGAAGAAAGAAAUGACGGUACCUAAAUAAGAAGCCCCGGCUAACUACGUGCCAGCAGCCGCGGUAAUACGUAGGGGGCAAGCGUUAUCCGGAAUUACUGGGUGUAAAGGGAGAGUAGGCGGCAAGGUAAGCGAUAUGUGAAAGCCUUAGGCUUAACCUGAGGAUUGCAUAACGAACUAUCUAGCUAGAGUACAGGAGAGGAAAGCGGAAUUCCUAGUGUAGCGGUGAAAUGCGUAGAUAUUAGGAAGAACACCAGUGGCGAAGGCGGCUUUCUGGACUGAAACUGACGCUGAGGCUCGAAAGCGUGGGGAGCGAACAGGAUUAGAUACCCUGGUAGUCCACGCUGUAAACGAUGAG
rnacentral:rRNA from 1 species